CACGUAGGCACCAAGCGUUGUCCGGAUUUAUUGGGCGUAAAGAGCGUGUAGGCGGCCCGGAAGGUCAGCUGUGAAAACUCGAGGCUCAACCUCGAGACGUCGGUUGAAACCACCAGGCUAGAGUCCGGAAGAGGAGUGUGGAAUUCCCGGUGUAGCGGUGAAAUGCGCAGAUAUCGGGAAGAACACCCGUGGCGAAGGCGGCACUCUGGGACGGUACUGACGCUGAGACGCGAAAGCGUGGGGAGCGAACAGG
rnacentral:rRNA from 1 species